rnacentral:rRNA from 1 species
ACGUUGAUAGGCUGGGUGUGGAAGUGCAGUAAUGCAUUAAGCUAACCAGUACUAAUUGCCCGUACGGCUUGUCCCUAUAACCUUGGCAGGUUAUA